CCUACGGGUGGCAGCAGUGGGGAAUAUUGGACAAUGGGCGAAAGCCUGAUCCAGCCAUGCCGCGUGUGUGAAGAAGGCCUUCGGGUUGUAAAGCACUUUCAGUGGGGAAGAAAGCCUUGGGGCUAAUACCCUCGAGGAAGGACAUCACCCACAGAAGAAGCACCGGCUAACUCCGUGCCAGCAGCCGCGGUAAUACGGAGGGUGCGAGCGUUAAUCGGAAUUACUGGGCGUAAAGCGCGCGUAGGCGGUCUGAUAAGCCGGUUGUGAAAGCCCCGGGCUCAACCUGGGAACGGCAUCCGGAACUGUCAGGCUAGAGUGCAGGAGAGGAAGGUAGAAUUCCCGGUAUAGCGGUGAAAUGCGUAGAGAUCGGGAGGAAUACCAGUGGCGAAGGCGGCCUUCUGGACUGACACUGACGCUGAGGUGCGAAAGCGUGGGUAGCAAACAGGAUUAGAUACCCUAGUAGUC
rnacentral:rRNA from 1 species